CGGCGAAGCGGCUCCUUCUGCGGCCUCUUCGCUGAGAACUGAUUCCCAGAGGUCGCCAUUGACCGGGAAAAGUGGAAAACAGUCCGAUCCAGCCUCACUCCGGACCGGCGCUUCACUUCCAGCAUCACGGCUCCUCUCAGUGCGUCUCACACUAAUUCCAGUUUCAGCGCCUCUUGGAUGAAAGAAGGCAGAUUCAGCUCAGCAGUACGCCUCCACCUGCUGCUCCGGUGGAUGCUCCACCUCCUCAAACACGUACGGCGCUCCGGUGGAAGGCUUGUGGCCGUUUACCAGCGGUUCUGGCAGAACCUGCAGGUCCGCCGGAGAUGCAGUCAGGCCCUGUGGAUGUUUUUGAGCCUGAUGUAGCUCCGUAGUUGUGCUGUUACCUGAGAGGGCGGUGCACAUGGCGGCGAAGGCACUGAG